AAAUUGAAGAGUUUGAUCAUGGCUCAGAUUGAACGCUGGCGGCAGGCCUAACACAUGCAAGUCGAACGGUAGCACAGAGAGCUUGCUCUCGGGUGACGAGUGGCGGACGGGUGAGUAAUGUCUGGGAAACUGCCUGAUGGAGGGGGAUAACUACUGGAAACGGUGGCUAAUACCGCAUAACGUCGCAAGACCAAAGAGGGGGACCUUCGGGCCUCUUGCCAUCAGAUGUGCCCAGAUGGGAUUAGCUAGUUGGUGAGGUAACGGCUCACCAAGGCGACGAUCCCUAGCUGGUCUGAGAGGAUGACCAGCCACACUGGAACUGAGACACGGUCCAGACUCCUACGGGAGGCAGCAGUGGGGAAUAUUGCACAAUGGGCGCAAGCCUGAUGCAGCCAUGCCGCGUGUAUGAAGAAGGCCUUCGGGUUGUAAAGUACUUUCAGCGGGGAGGAAGGUGUUGUGGUUAAUAACCGCAGCAAUUGACGUUACCCGCAGAA
rnacentral:rRNA from 1 species